CAGGAAACCCAGGGCAGGCAGCCCCGGCCCAGGGGCGCGCGCCGGGCGGACUCCGGGGCUCGCAGACGCGGGGCCCGCGUGCCAUGAACCUCCGCGCCGGAGGCGGCAGCAGCGGGCGCCGGGCGGAUCGGCGCAGCGAGGCGGCCGGGCGGAUCCAGCGCAGCCGGGAGGCCGGGCAGAUGCGGGGCGGCGCGGUCAGCAGGUGGCGAACCCACGGCCAGGCUUCCGUGGCAAGCAGCCCUAGAGGAAUGACCGUCCUGUCCCUGAGAGCCCCUGGGCCCUGGCAGGCGAUCCAGGUGGGAUGCUAUGGAAUAUGAUGAGAAGCUGGCCCGGUUCCGGCAGGCGCACCUCAACCCCUUCAACAAGCAGUCUGGGCCAAGACAGCAUGAGCAGGGCCCUGGGGAGGAGGCCCCGGACGUCACUCCUGAAGAGGCCCUGCCUGAGCUGCCCCCUGGGGAGCCAGAGUUCCGCUGCCCUGAACGCGUGAUGGAUCUCGGCCUGUCUGAGGACCACUUCUCCCGCCCUGUGGGUCUGUUCCUGGCCUCUGACGUCCAGCAGCUGCGGCAGGCGAUCGAGGAGUGCAAGCAGGUGAUUCUGGAGCUGCCCGAGCAGUCUGAGAAGCAGAAGGAUGCCGUGGUGCGUCUCAUCCACCUCCGGCUGAAGCUCCAGGAGCUGAAGGACCCCAAUGAGGAUGAGCCAAACAUCCGAGUGCUCCUUGAGCACCGCUUCUACAAGGAGAAGAGCAAGAGUGUCAAGCAGACCUGUGACAAGUGUAACACCAUCAUCUGGGGGCUCAUCCAGACCUGGUACACCUGCACAGGGUGUUAUUACCGCUGUCACAGCAAGUGCUUGAACCUCAUCUCCAAACCCUGUGUGAGCUCCAAAGUCAGCCACCAAGCGGAAUACGAACUGAACAUCUGUCCUGAGACAGGGCUGGACAGCCAGGAUUACCGCUGUGCCGAGUGCCGGGCACCCAUCUCUCUGCGGGGUGUGCCCGGUGAGGCCAGGCAGUGUGACUACACCGGCCAGUACUACUGCAGCCACUGCCACUGGAACGACCUGGCUGUCAUCCCUGCACGCGUGGUGCACAACUGGGACUUCGAGCCUCGAAAGGUGUCUCGCUGCAGCAUGCGCUACCUGGCGCUGAUGGUGUCUCGGCCCGUGCUCAGGCUCCGGGAGAUCAACCCUCUGCUGUUCAACUACGUGGAGGAGCUGGUGGAGAUUCGCAAGCUGCGCCAGGACAUCCUGCUCAUGAAGCCAUACUUCAUCACAUGCAGGGAGGCCAUGGAGGCUCGUCUGUUGCUGCAGGUCAGACUGCCAGCGGGACUGGCGCCCGAUGGGAAGUGCAGCCAGGGCAGUGAGGCACCUCUGGCUCAGGUCUUUUCCAGACAGCUUGUGCAUGGAGUGCCUUUAGCAGAGGGUCUCCUCACCAUGGUCCCAAGGAACAAAGCAAACAGGCGUUCAGCCCACGAAAGAGUUCUCCCAUUUGUUCAGUUCGGGAAACCCUGUAGCCUUUAUGUGAAUCUCCAUAGGGGUGGGUCCAGCCCAGCCCUCCUCAGGCCGAUUGAACACAAAAACAAUUUUCAAGGUUCAUCUAAUCAUUUAUUCAACAGAUACAGAUGUUCUAGAUUCUGGAACAGUGAACGAAACAGGCAGGAAGGCUUGCCCUUAGAGAGUGCCUCUCAAGUAGGGAAGACAAGAAAAAUAAGUUGUGUGUUGGCGUGGUGAGCUGUGUGACAAGACAGAGAAGGAAGGGUGGGGAACACGGGGAUGCAGUGUGGCUGGGAGGGGCUGCACUGGGGAGUGGACCCGGCUACACGGGUCAGGAAAUGUGGCCCAGGUCCAUCUUCCCCUGUUGGCUUCCUGGGGCUCCUGGAUUCUGCUCCCGGGGCCCAGACCCUUCUGUAGCUCGUUUCUCUGUGGACACCCGGGCCCUGACCACUGGAGUGACCAUGGGUGGGCAGUGGGAGGGGCCCUCCCCAGUGCAGGGGUCACAGCUGCUGGGACUUGGCAGCUCCAGGAUCGGCAGCAUUUUGUGGAGAACGACGAGAUGUACUCUGUCCAGGACCUCCUGGACGUUCAUGCCGGCCGUCUGGGCUGCUCGCUCACCGAGAUCCACACGCUCUUCGCCAAGCACAUCAAGCUGGACUGCGAGCGGUGCCAGGCCAAGGGCUUCGUGUGUGAGCUCUGCAGAGAGGGCGAUGUGCUGUUCCCGUUCGACAGCCACACGUCUGUGUGCACUGACUGCUCUGCCGUCUUCCACAGGGACUGCUACUACGACAACUCCACCACGUGCCCCAAGUGUGCCCGGCUCAGCCUGAGGAAGCAGUCGCUCUUCCAGGAGCCAGGUCCCGACGUGGAGGCCUAGCACUGAGGAAGAGUGCUGGGCACCCUGCCUGGCCCGCCGGGACCCACCCUGCCAACGUCAAGUUUUUCGUCCUGCUCUGGAGACCCCUGGGGUGUGGCCCCUGGACCCCUCCACCCCUGCUGGGUGGGCAGUGUCGAGGACUGAGGGGGUGGGUAGUGUCAGGGACCAUUGUCUCCCAGUGCUUGCUGGGACUCGGGGCGGCCGCACCUGGGUGUGCUGCUGUGAGGGGUCCUUGUGUGGCCCCCAUCCUUCCCCCGGUGGGCAGUGAGUUGGGGGGACAUCUCACCUCCCCCAUGGCACAGAACCCUCCACACCCCUGGACCAGGGCAUCUGGGCCCUAGAGAUUCCACAGCUCCCGUCCUGGCCACCCUGGAAAUUCAUCAGGCCAAGAUCCCGAGAGAGCUGCAGAGGAGUGUUGAGUAACACCUGAGGCUGUGGCUGCACACACCCCGCCAAGGGCUGGGUCUUACCUGUGGUGGGGUUUCAGCUCUGCCUGGAGGCUCCAUCCCUUUCAGCCACUCGUCGCCUUGGGGACUUCUGGUUGUCCCCAGCUGAGGCUGUUCACAGUUGUCACCUGUAGACCUGCCUCUACCCUGGCCUGAGAUUCAAAGGCCUCAUUGGGUGGUCAGUUCAGUGGGGUUACCUGUUGUUUCUGUACAGCAGCAGGGAAGGGGGCCAUGGAGCUUUUGGAGCUGCCAUGGAGCUGCCUUGACCCAGCCCCUUUCCUGGUGCUCCAAGCUAGGAGGCCGUGGCUUCAGCCUGAGGAGGGUGUCCUGGCCUCCAGGUGUGGAGCAGGGACUGUGUGCUGUGGGAGGUUUCAGUUAGGCGAUGGGAUCCUACAGGGGUCUGAUGGCAUUUCUUGGAACCAGAUUUGCCUGAGGAACUCUGUCCUGCUGCCUGUGGAGGGCUCUAGAUAGCUCGGAAACGACCAGCCAGUGGCCUUUUGUUUGGGGGCCUGAGGUCAAGAGCUGAGAGUAUUUGCUCGACAGCCCAUUCAGGAAGAUCAGGGCAGGGGCAUGUGGGAGGUCCCUCACUCCACAGGACCGAGGCCCCUGGACAGCAGAGGAAACCUACAGCUCUGGGUGAGGGGACACUUGGCUUUGGUGUUUGCACUUUACAGAUCCUGCGGUCCACGAGGGGCCUCAGGAGAGGACAUGUCAGGGCAUGGCUUCCCAGCCUUCUACCUUGGGAAGUGGGGAUGCUCCUGUCUGUCCUUUUCCCCCACACCCUGGACUGCACUUGGCUGUUGGUGCACAUGGUUGGCACACAUGGUGGGCAGAGGGCAGAGAAUGUCACUGCUUGGAUAUUUGUCCCCUUUGACCAGGAAGCCCAAGAGGAGACACCUCAGCCAGCAGAAAGGCCACCCAGCUCACUGGCUCAUUCCAGGAGCGGGAGAGAUGGCAGGGUCUCCUCUUUGCCCUCCGCCGUCAGGAAGGGGAUGGUGUCCUCUUCCGACUGUGGUGGCUUUAGGCGAGGUUCUUACCGUCUGCUCUGCCUCGGUUUCCCCAUCUGGAAAAUGGGGGCGGGGUACUGACCUACCUCAGGUGGCAAGGUGAGCAGGGAACAUGUUGGAGUCCUUUAGAGAGUGUGAUGUGAGGUUGGAUCAACAUUGUGGGCUCCUGUCCUGCUUCCCCUUCCUCUUUGGGGCUGAGGAGGGGGUUAAAGGCCAAAUGCUGUUUCCCAACACCCCGAAGUCUGCACAUGUCUCAUGAGUGCAUCACACUUCUGUCAUAUGGAUAUUAGCCAUUCCAAAAUCUGUGUAAUCAACUUCACAUUAUUCAAGUUACAAAUCACUGUGUCCAUAGAAAAACUAUGCUGGCAUUUGCUGGACAACGGGUUGGGCCCCUUUUAUUUUUACCUGCCACCCAGCAUCUCCCCCACCUGCCCCUUCUGGGUGACACAGUCUGUAAACAGAAUCAUGUAUGGGUCUUUGUCUGAGUCUGUAGCACAACAGGAAAAGCCCAGCAAGGACCCAGUUUGCACCGCCAGCACCCACACCAUGGGUGGUCCCACAGCACGGGACCAAGCUGGCCUGAGGGAUGCCCAGUUGUAACAAUGCUGCUGUCACUGUCUCAUUAAAUAUAUGUCCUUUC